rnacentral:rRNA from 1 species
AUGCUUCUCCUAAAGAUUAAGCCAUGCAUGCCUGAAAAGUAUUGAGCAUAUCUAUGAAUCUGCGAACGGCUCCACAAACCAGUUGUUAAUCAUAGCAAGUCGCCCCUGGCAUGUAGCAUUUAAAGGCAAAAUGCCACUGUGAAGUGCUGGGGGCAAUUGGCCAACUUUGGUAAUUCUGAGGCUAUUCCACGACCCCACCUAGGUUAACCGGGUAACUGGAAAGCCGGGGACGGCGUGUUAGUCGCAACCAAUGUAGGAACAGGCACGCAUCCCGUCAAACUCCUGUCACCAAAAACAGGGCAGGGGGAGGACGGCCCUUUAGGGGUGCCCACCCCUUCCCCCCAAUCACCCUGGGGACAGCUUGCUUGGUGCACCUGACCUAUCAACUAGAUGGCAGCAUAAACGACAUGCUAUGGUUACAACGGGUACAGAGGAUAAGGGUUCGAUCCUGGAGAGUGGGCCUGAGAUAUUGCUCAUACUUCUAAGGAAGGCAGCAGGCGCGUAACGUUCCCAGUGGGCAGGUAUCUAAUACCUGCUUGAGGGCGUUAGGGGACAUAUGAAUGCCCGCCAUUCGGUGGGCAAUUCAAAUGGGCUGGUGACAAACCACCCA